ACAGCCCAAAAAUCACUGUCCACGCGAUCCUUUUGCACGAUCCAAUGGCUUGAAGGUGAUCUGGGAGGCUUUUUGCACGAUCUGAGGGCCACGAACGCGAGCGGGGAAGAUCCAACGGCCAGAAAUAUUUCUAAGUCUUAAUAGAGGUUGUAUUUCAAUUUGGAGAGGAUUUUGGGCCCUUUACAGGCUGAGAGGUAGAGGGAACACCCUAUUGAGUAGUGU
rnacentral:lncRNA from 1 species